GGAGAGGUGGCUGAGUGGUCGAAAGCGGCAGAUUGCUAAUCUGUUGUACGGUGAACUCCGUACCGAGGGUUCGAAUCCCUCCCUCUCCG
rfam:Phormidium sp. OSCR ITZY_scaf_73, whole genome shotgun sequence.